GGUUAAGCGACUAAGCGUACACGGUGGAUGCCCUGGCAGUCAGAGGCGAUGAAGGACGUGCUAAUCUGCGAUAAGCGUCGGUAAGGUGAUAUGAACCGUUAUAACCGGCGAUUUCCGAAUGGGGAAACCCAGUGUGAUUCGUCACACUAUCAUUAACUGAAUCCAUAGGUUAAUGAGGCGAACCGGGGGAACUGAAACAUCUAAGUACCCCGAGGAAAAGAAAUCAACCGAGAUUCCCCCAGUAGCGGCGAGCGAACGGGGAGGAGCCCAGAGCCUGAAUCAGUGUGUGUGUUAGUGGAAGCGUCUGGAAAGGCGCGCGAUACAGGGUGACAGCCCCGUACACAAAAAUGCACAUACUGUGAGCUCGAUGAGUAGGGCGGGACACGUGGUAUCCUGUCUGAAUAUGGGGGGACCAUCCUCCAAGGCUAAAUACUCCUGACUGACCGAUAGUGAACCAGUACCGUGAGGGAAAGGCGAAAAGAACCCCGGCGAGGGGAGUGAAAAAGAACCUGAAACCGUGUACGUACAAGCAGUGGGAGCCUCUUUAUGGGGUGACUGCGUACCUUUUGUAUAAUGGGUCAGCGACUUAUAUUCUGUAGCAAGGUUAACCGAAUAGGGGAGCCGAAGGGAAACCGAGUCUUAACUGGGCGUUAAGUUGCAGGGUAUAGACCCGAAACCCGGUGAUCUAGCCAUGGGCAGGUUGAAGGUUGGGUAACACUAACUGGAGGACCGAACCGACUAAUGUUGAAAAAUUAGCGGAUGACUUGUGGCUGGGGGUGAAAGGCCAAUCAAACCGGGAGAUAGCUGGUUCUCCCCGAAAGCUAUUUAGGUAGCGCCUCGUGAAUUCAUCUCCGGGGGUAGAGCACUGUUUCGGCAAGGGGGUCAUCCCGACUUACCAACCCGAUGCAAACUGCGAAUACCGGAGAAUGUUAUCACGGGAGACACACGGCGGGUGCUAACGUCCGUCGUGAAGAGGGAAACAACCCAGACCGCCAGCUAAGGUCCCAAAGUCAUGGUUAAGUGGGAAACGAUGUGGGAAGGCCCAGACAGCCAGGAUGUUGGCUUAGAAGCAGCCAUCAUUUAAAGAAAGCGUAAUAGCUCACUGGUCGAGUCGGCCUGCGCGGAAGAUGUAACGGGGCUAAACCAUGCACCGAAGCUGCGGCAGCGACACUAAGUGUUGUUGGGUAGGGGAGCGUUCUGUAAGCCUGUGAAGAUGUGCUGUGAGGCAUGCUGGAGGUAUCAGAAGUGCGAAUGCUGACAUAAGUAACGAUAAAGCGGGUGAAAAGCCCGCUCGCCGGAAGACCAAGGGUUCCUGUCCAACGUUAAUCGGGGCAGGGUGAGUCGACCCCUAAGGCGAGGCCGAAAGGCGUAGUCGAUGGGAAACAGGUUAAUAUUCCUGUACUUGGUGUUACUGCGAAGGGGGGACGGAGAAGGCUAUGUUGGCCGGGCGACGGUUGUCCCGGUUUAAGCGUGUAGGCUGGUUUUCCAGGCAAAUCCGGAAAAUCAAGGCUGAGGCGUGAUGACGAGGCACUACGGUGCUGAAGCGACAAAUGCCCUGCUUCCAGGAAAAGCCUCUAAGCAUCAGGUAACAACAAAUCGUACCCCAAACCGACACAGGUGGUCAGGUAGAGAAUACCAAGGCGCUUGAGAGAACUCGGGUGAAGGAACUAGGCAAAAUGGUGCCGUAACUUCGGGAGAAGGCACGCUGAUAUGUAGGUGAAGCGACUUGCUCGUGGAGCUGAAAUCAGUCGAAGAUACCAGCUGGCUGCAACUGUUUAUUAAAAACACAGCACUGUGCAAACACGAAAGUGGACGUAUACGGUGUGACGCCUGCCCGGUGCCGGAAGGUUAAUUGAUGGGGUUAGCGGUAACGCGAAGCUCUUGAUCGAAGCCCCGGUAAACGGCGGCCGUAACUAUAACGGUCCUAAGGUAGCGAAAUUCCUUGUCGGGUAAGUUCCGACCUGCACGAAUGGCGUAAUGAUGGCCAGGCUGUCUCCACCCGAGACUCAGUGAAAUUGAACUCGCUGUGAAGAUGCAGUGUACCCGCGGCAAGACGGAAAGACCCCGUGAACCUUUACUAUAGCUUGACACUGAACAUUGAGCCUUGAUGUGUAGGAUAGGUGGGAGGCUUUGAAGUGUGGACGCCAGUCUGCAUGGAGCCGACCUUGAAAUACCACCCUUUAAUGUUUGAUGUUCUAACGUUGGCCCGUAAUCCGGGUUGCGGACAGUGUCUGGUGGGUAGUUUGACUGGGGCGGUCUCCUCCUAAAGAGUAACGGAGGAGCACGAAGGUUGGCUAAUCCUGGUCGGACAUCAGGAGGUUAGUGCAAUGGCAUAAGCCAGCUUGACUGCGAGCGUGACGGCGCGAGCAGGUGCGAAAGCAGGUCAUAGUGAUCCGGUGGUUCUGAAUGGAAGGGCCAUCGCUCAACGGAUAAAAGGUACUCCGGGGAUAACAGGCUGAUACCGCCCAAGAGUUCAUAUCGACGGCGGUGUUUGGCACCUCGAUGUCGGCUCAUCACAUCCUGGGGCUGAAGUAGGUCCCAAGGGUAUGGCUGUUCGCCAUUUAAAGUGGUACGCGAGCUGGGUUUAGAACGUCGUGAGACAGUUCGGUCCCUAUCUGCCGUGGGCGCUGGAGAACUGAGGGGGGCUGCUCCUAGUACGAGAGGACCGGAGUGGACGCAUCACUGGUGUUCGGGUUGUCAUGCCAAUGGCACUGCCCGGUAGCUAAAUGCGGAAGAGAUAAGUGCUGAAAGCAUCUAAGCACGAAACUUGCCCCGAGAUGAGUUCUCCCUGACCCUUUAAGGGUCCUGAAGGAACGUUGAAGACGACGACGUUGAUAGGCCGGGUGUGUAAGCGCAGCGAUGCGUUGAGCUAACCGGUACUAAUGAACCGUGAGGCUUAACCUU
rnacentral:rRNA from 2 species